AGGGCUUUAUCUUAAUUUAAAGAGCUUGAGUUGCAUUCAUGAAAUGUUGGAUAAUAUCCUACAAGUCCUA
rnacentral:tRNA from 1 species